UACGGGGGGGGCAAGCGUUGUUCGGAAUUACUGGGCGUAAAGGGCUUGUAGGUGGCCAACUAAGUCCGACGUGAAAUCCCUAGGCUUAACCUAGGAACUGCGUCGGAUACUGGAUGGCUUGAAUCCGGGAGAGGGAUGCGGAAUUCCAGGUGUAGCGGUGAAAUGCGUAGAUAUCUGGAGGAACACCGGUGGCGAAGGCGGCAUCCUGGACCAAUAUUGACGCUGAGGAGCGAAAGCCAGGGGAGCAAACGGG
rnacentral:rRNA from 1 species